ACGGCUCAGUAACACGUGGAUAACCUGCCCUUGGGUCCGGCAUAACCCCGGGAAACUGGGGAUAAUUCCGGAUAACGCACAUAUGCUGGAAUGCUUUCUGCGUAAAAUGGAUUCGUCUGCCCAAGGAUGGGUCUGCGGCCUAUCAGGUAGUAGUGGGUGUAAUGUACCUACUAGCCUACGACGGGUACGGGUUGUGAGAGCAAGAGCCCGGAGAUGGAUUCUGAGACAUGAAUCCAGGCCCUACGGGGCGCAGCAGGCGCGAAAACUUUACAAUGCGGGAAACCGUGAUAAGGGGACACCGAGUGCCAGCAUCAUAUGCUGGCUGUCCGGGUGUGUAAAAUACACCUGUUAGCAAGGGCCGGGCAAGACCGGUGCCAGCCGCCGCGGUAACACCGGCGGCCCGAGUGGUGAUCGUGAUUAUUGGGUCUAAAGGGUCCGUAGCCGGUUUGGUCAGUCCUCCGGGAAAUCUGACAGCUCAACUGUUAGGCUUUCGGAGGAUACUGCCAGACUUGGAACCGGGAGAGGUAAGAGGUACUACAGGGGUAGGAGUGAAAUCUUGUAAUCCCUGUGGGACCACCUGUGGCGAAGGCGUCUUACCAGAACGGGUUCGACGGUGAGGGACGAAAGCUGGGGGCACGAACCGGAUUAGAUACCCGGGUAGUCCCAGCCGUAAACGAUGCUCGCUAGGUGUCAGGCAUGGCGCGACCGUGUCUGGUGCCGCAGGGAAGCCGUGAAGCGAGCCACCUGGGAAGUACGGCCGCAAGGCUGAAACUUAAAGGAAUUGGCGGGGGAGCAC
rnacentral:rRNA from 1 species